CACGUAGGGUGCGAGCGUUGUCCGGAAUUAUUGGGCGUAAAGAGCUCGUAGGCGGUGUGUCGCGUCGGCCGUGAAAACCUGCAGCUUAACUGUGGGCUUGCGGUCGAUACGGGCAUCACUGGAGUUCGGCAGAGGAGACUGGAAUUUACGGUGUAGCGGUGAAAUGCGUAGAUAUCGUAAGGAAGACCAGUGGCGAAGGCGGGUCUCUGGACAGUUCCUGACGCUGAGGCACGAAGGCCAGGGGAGCAAACGGG
rnacentral:rRNA from 1 species